GGGGAAUAUUGCACAAUGGGCGCAAGCCUGAUGCAGCCAUGCCGCGUGUAUGAAGAAGGCCUUCGGGUUGUAAAGUACUUUCAGUUGUGAGGAAGGGGGUGUUGUUAAUAGCAACAUCUCUUGACGUUAGCAACAGAAGAAGCACCGGCUAACUCCGUGCCAGCAGCCGCGGUAAUACGGAGGGUGCGAGCGUUAAUCGGAAUUACUGGGCGUAAAGCGCAUGCAGGUGGUUCAUUAAGUCAGAUGUGAAAGCCCGGGGCUCAACCUCGGAACUGCAUUUGAAACUGGUGAACUAGAGUACUGUAGAGGGGGGUAGAAUUUCAGGUGUAGCGGUGAAAUGCGUAGAGAUCUGAAGGAAUACCAGUGGCGAAGGCGGCCCCCUGGACAGAUACUGACACUCAGAUGCGAAAGCGUGGGGAGCAAACA
rnacentral:rRNA from 1 species